UACGUAGGGUGCAAGCGUUAAUCGGAAUUACUGGGCGUAAAGCGUGCGCAGGCGGUGCUGUAAGACAGUUGUGAAAUCCCCGGGCUCAACCUGGGAACUGCAUCUGUGACUGCAUCGCUGGAGUGCGGCAGAGGGGGAUGGAAUUCCGCGUGUAGCAGUGAAAUGCGUAGAUAUGCGGAGGAACACCGAUGGCGAAGGCAAUCCCCUGGGCCUGCACUGACGCUCAUGCACGAAAGCGUGGGGAGCAAACAGG
rnacentral:rRNA from 1 species